rnacentral:rRNA from 1 species
GGCGAAGCCCUGAUCCAGCCAUGCCGCGUGUGUGAAGAAGGUCUUCGGAUUGUAAAGCACUUUAAGUUGGGAGGAAGGGCAUUAACCUAAUACGUUAGUGUUUUGACGUUACCGACAGAAUAAGCACCGGCUAACUCNGUGCCAGCAGCCGCGGUAAUAA